AUGGAUUUGCUGACAGACCUAGAGCAGUUACUGUUUGCUGCCAGGGUUUCCACUUAAGAUGCAAGAAGUUAAGUGUCCUUGUACUUUCUGUUUGAUUUUGGCAGCCAAGACUGAAUGGGGGAAUACAGGU